rnacentral:sRNA from 1 species
GGGAAAGUGGCAAAGCUUCAUCCAGUCUAGGUCUUCAGGAUUUUGAUUUGCUCCGGGUAAUAGGAAGAGGAAGUUAUGCCAAAGUACUGUUGGUUCGAUUAAAAAAAACAGAUCGUAUUUAUGCAAUGAAAGUUGUGAAAAAAGAGCUUGUUAAUGAUGAUGAGGAUAUUGAUUGGGUGCAGACAGAGAAGCAUGUGUUUGAGCAGGCAUCCAAUCAUCCUUUCCUUGUUGGGCUGCAUUCUUGCUUUCAGACAGAAAGCAGGUAAGAUUGAAAGAUAGUAGAAUGAUUACUGGGCUUCAUAUUUUUGGUCAUAUUACACAGUUAGAACCUUUCUGCCCUAAUUCAUGAAGUAGAUAUCAUGGAGGAUGCAACAGUGUUAGGCUUAUAACUUCCUGCUAAUAAUACUGCCAUCAGUGAUAUCAGUUUGAUAUUAGAUCAGCAUUAGGAAAUGACCUACUUUAGGCAGAACAGGAAAUAGCCAUGUCGUAAUUAUGGCAGUGGAAAUCCAACCUUUUAAAUAUCCCCAGUAUUCUAG